GACGAACGCUGGCGGCGUGCUUAACACAUGCAAGUCGAACGGAGUGGCGAACGGGUGAGUAACACAUGGGUGACCUGCCCUGCACUUCGGGAUAAGCCUGAGAAACUGGGUCUAAUACCGGAUAGUGUGGGAUGGGCCCGCGGCAUAUCAGCUUGUGGGUGGGGUAAUGGCCUACCAAGGCGGCGACGGGUAGCCGGCCUGAGAGGGUGGCCGGCCACAUAGGGACUGAGGCACGGCCAAGACUCCUACGGGCGGAAGCAGUGGGGAAUAGUGCACAAUGCGCGGAGGCCUGAUGCAGCGACGCCGCGUGGGGGAUGACUGCCUUCGGGUUGUAAACUCCUUUCACCAUCGACGCGGUAGAUGGAGAAGAAGCACCGGCUAACUACGUGCCAGCAGCCGCGGUAAUUC
rnacentral:rRNA from 1 species